rnacentral:rRNA from 1 species
GACGAACGCUGGCGGCGUGCUUAACACAUGCAAGUCGAACGGUAAGGCCCUUCGGGGUACACGAGUGGCGAACGGGUGAGUAACACGUGGGUGAUCUGCCCUGCACUUCGGGAUAAGCCUGGGAAACUGGGUCUAAUACCGGAUAGGACUCCUGGCUUCAUGGUUGGGGGUGGAAAGCUUUUGCGGUGUGGGAUGGGCCCGCGGCCUAUCAGCUUGUUGGUGGGGUAAUGGCCUACCAAGGCGACGACGGGUAGCCGGCCUGAGAGGGUGACCGGGCACACUGGGACUGGGAUACGGCCCAGACGCCUACGGGAGGCAGCAGUGGGGAAUAUUGCACAAUGGGCGCAAGCCUGAUGCAGCGACGCCGCGUGAGGGAUGACGGCCUUCGGGUUGUAAACCUCUUUCAGCACCGACGAAGCGCAAGUGACGGUAGGUGCAGAAGAAGGACCGGCCAACUACGUGCCAGCCGCCGCCGUAA